AUGCUGAUGGCCGACCAGCUGACUCACCGUGCUCUGGCGGCGCUGGCGAAGCAGCACGGGGGGUUGGUGCACCUCCGCCUGGGCUGCCUCCCUAUCUUGGUGGUGUCCACACCGGAGUACGCGCACGAGGUGCUCCAGGCGCAGGACAACAAUGACUUCUGGAAGCGUCCAACCUCCAUCGCCAUCCUCUACCUCACCUACGGCUGCUCCGACAUGGCAUUCGCGCACAACAGGCGCUACUGGCGCGAGAUGCGCAAGCUGUGCGUCACCAAGCUCUUCAGCCGGCAGCGCGCCGAGACAUGGCUCGCCGUGCGCGACGGGUAUGGGGAGCUCAUCCGGGACGUCGGCAGGUCCAGCGGGGAAGCCGUGAACCUCGGCGAACUCAUCUACAAGCACACCGUGAGCGUCAUCCUGCGUGCCGCCUUCAGCGUCCGCGACGUCCAAGGACUGGAGGAGUUGAUCCCCAAGAUCAACGAUUACUCCAAGCUCUUAGAAGUGUUUCACAUCGGUGACAUCUUCCCAUGGCUUAGCUGGAUUGGCCGCCGGGGCUUGGACCACCGCCUCCGUUCUGUGUGCGGCGCUCUCGGCAAGUUUGCGGACAAGAUCAUUAACGAGCACAUUAGGAGGGGAAAGAACCCCGACGAAGCCGACGCUGACAUAGUAGGCGGCCUACUCGCGUUCCUCGCUGAUGCCAGCGGGAAGGACCUCCACUUCACCCGCGACAACGUUAAAGGCCUGAUCAUGGUAAGUACUCCCACUGUAAGCUAA
rnacentral:rRNA from 1 species